rnacentral:rRNA from 1 species
AUGAAUUUGGAUAAUGGACUGAGAAUUAUUGAUAGAGAUGCAGACUGUCUUAGUAUGACUGUUGUUGUGCCAAAGUUCAAGCAUUUCAAGUUGUACAUGGAUCAUGGUGAUAUUUAUAGCGAGCUGAAUAUGGAUGACAUAUGCAUAAUUGGCUCACCUACAAUGCCUGAUAUCAUGAGUCCUGUGAAGCCACAAGAAAAGGUACAAAGAGUUAUAUUAGGAGUAGUCCUAGGAUCAAGAGCAAGGCACAAAAAGGGAGAACUAAAGAACAAGUGCAGAAAAACAAUGACAGUGAUAGUGAUGAUAGUGAUAGUGAUUGUAGUUAUGAAGAUUGGGCUGACUCAGACAAUGACUUUAAGAAUGGCGAUGAUAAUCUGUUUGAGGAGUGGGUUGAUGACUUCAAUAAGGAUCUCAGAGCAAAGAAAAAUAAAGCAGUACAGUACGAGAGGGAUAGUGACUAUGACACUGAUGAGCUAG